UACGUAGGAUGCUAGCGUUGUCCGGAUUUACUGGGCGUAAAGCGCGCGCAGGCGGCACUGUAAGUAAGGUGUGAAAUCUCCCUGCUCAACGGGGAGGGUGCACUUUAGACUGCAGAGCUAGAGGACGGUAGAGGGGGGUGGAAUUGCUGGUGUAGCGGUGAAAUGCGUAGAUAUCAAGAGGAACACCUGCGGCGAAGGCGGGUUGCUGGGCUGACACUGACGCUGAGGCGCGAAAGCUAGGGGAGCGAACGGG
rnacentral:rRNA from 1 species